ACGUAUGGGGCAAGCGUUGUUCGGAAUUAUUGGGCGUAAAGGGCUCGCAGGUGGUUUGUUAAGUUGGUGGUUUAAUCUCUGGGCUCAACCCAGAGUCAGCCAUCAAAACUGGCGAACUUGAGUACGAUAGGGGAUAGCGGAAUUCUCGGUGUAGCGGUGGAAUGCGUAGAUAUCGAGAGGAACACCAAUGGCGAAGGCAGCUAUCUGGAUCGUAACUGACACUCAUGAGCGAAAGUGCGGGGAGCAAACAGGAUUAGAUACCCUGGUAGUCCGCACCGUAAACGUUGUAUACUAGUUGUUGGUGGUUUCAACGCCAUCAGUGACGUCGCUAACGCAUUAAGUAUACCGCCUGGGGAGUAUGCUCGCAAGGGUG
rnacentral:rRNA from 1 species